UCAAAAUAUAAAAAAAGUUAAAAAAUCAGAACACCAAUUUUUUUUUAACCAUGAAAUGUUAUUGGGUGCUUUUUCAGCAUAUGAAUAAUGUUACCUCAAUUAGGUCUGCAUUAUAAAUUAAAAAUGCAGCUCAGUUUGACAUGGAGAUGUUGACAUAUCAGGAAGUAGUGUUGAAUGGUUUCUGUAGCAUUAGAGAUGUUUGUAAAAGUAUCAUUUUUUAACUGUAUCCCUUCAAUGUACCACCACUAUUUUUUGUUCAUUUAAUGUACAAUUGUAUUUAUUUAUUGUGGAUGCCAAUUUUAAUCCUUAGCCUACUGUUGUCUAUAAGCAUUAUUUUUCCAUUCAGAGCUUCCUUCUUUAUGCCAGUUUACUAAUAAACUUUAAUGUAGAUAUAGUCUUGCAUAAAUAAGUUUGUCACUUUACACUCGUCUGACAUACUAAAUUAUAAUCCUGAUACCUUUGAUAACUAUUUCAUACCACAUCUUCUUUUUAUAUUUACUAUGAAGUUAUAGUCAAAUUUCUCAACACUUAAUAGACAUGCUCAUUAUAAUUAGAAGACUUUUAUAUGUUUGCAAAAUAUAGAUUUCAACCCAGAUUUUACAAAUCCUUAAACUUGAUAAUAUAAUUCUGUAAUUUGGGCUUCAUUUCUCCUAAAGAAACCUGAUACAUUCUUGCAGAAAACAUUUUUUCUAAAAUUUAAUUACAUGUUUAUGAACAGAAAAUGCAUAAUAAGUUUUAAUAUAUGGAUAGAUGCAUAAGUUUUGAAUAUUUGAAAUAAGAACAUCGUCUUAUGAGGUUGUUUUAUAUACAAAUUUUAAGUUAUAAGUUAAAAUAAUAUUCUUAUGCAUAGAUUGUAAGGGAUUUACAAAAAUAUGCUUUAUACAGAAAUAAGCACGAUAUGUAUGUAUUUAAAAUGACGUUUCAUUCACCAUAAAAUUCUUUUAGCUUUUGAAAUCUAGUCUUAUGUUUUUUUUUUAAAUAGAAUUUAAUGUUUUAACACAUAAGCAAUAGUGUAGAAAGUAGAAAGAAACUAGCUAUAGGUUUGUAAACCAUAGAAAUGUUAAGAUUAAUUAUUAUAAUAAAAAAAUAAUCUGCUAUUGAAUAUUUUUCCAUUGAUUAUUUCAUAAUAGAGAAUUGAAAUCCCAACCUCUACUUUAUACUUUUAAGAGAUAGUCAAAUUUUGCACAACUUCUAGCUUAAGACAACGUAGUUGAGAUAUAUAUUUAUGACUUAUUUUUAACAGCAUAUGAUUUGCUUUGCUUUGCUCAAUUAUUGUUAAGAGCCAUAUUUUUAUUAUUCUUUAUUUUCAUCUAUAGCUAAUAGAUAGCUUAAUUAUUACUUUUAUUCUAUAUAUAAAUUAAUCUGAACAUUGUUUCCAUUUGUUGCUACAUUGAAUGUGUACAAAUGGGUUAACUAUUUCACUAGGUGUUAUUACAAACUAUUUAACUUGUCUUUCUGUAUUAUUUAGCCAAAUACAAACUGUGAUAUAUAUAUUUAAUGUGAUUGUAGAUUAUUACUUUGUUGAUGUCUGACAUAUUGACUGUAGAAUUAUGGGAUAUAUUAAUAGGUGCCUGCCAUAUUGGCUGUGGACACCUGGUAUAUAUUAUUAGGUGUCUGCCAUAUUGACUGUGGACACCUGGGAUAUAUUAUAAGGUGUCUGCCAUAUUGACUGUGGACACCUGUGAUAUAUUGUUAGGUGUCUGCCAUUUUGACUGUGGACACCUGGGAUAUUCUGACUAUAAUGUGUGGAUGUAGAAAAUACUUGUUUGUUAAUGUUGUUUACUGUAUAAUUUGUAUUUCAGUACAAUAAAUUAUUAAAACAA